rnacentral:lncRNA from 1 species
CGACAAAAAGAAGGAAGACCCCAAGCUCUCCCCAAUCUGAGAGGGCCCCUUGAAAGAUUGGCAAUGGUUUAGGACUCUGUGUCGAUGCCGACGAUCUAGAACUUCUCGAAGCCGACAACCUAGGAGUCCCAGGAGACAGCAUCGCCCAUCACCAAGGUGCUUGUCCCCACAGAAGAGAUUUACAAACUAUACCCCGUUGAACACAUCCAGGACUUAAGUCCUCAUGGAAAUUAGGGAGAAACUUCCCAAG